UGAAAUAAUCAUGAGCCAAACAGUUAGAGGAAAGUCCCUGAAUUAAGCGAUUAUCAUGUUGAAGAGUUUGUGAGUUUGUAAAUGAACUAAGUUUAGUGAAUGUUGAAAGUGAAAGUAUAACAGUAAAACUCUGAUUAUGAAUGGGUAGUUUACAGUACUUAAAGAUAAAUCUAAAUAUAUUAAAUAGGCUUAAUUUACAAACGAAACUUGUGGUUGUACUAAAUUUAAUGACAAACAGGGUAAUGUCAAGGUUGACUGAUGAUGAAAUGUUAGAAUAUCGAAAAUACGUUAUCUCGAGAAGAAUUAGACAAUAAGAUGUAAUCAAAUCUCAACGAUUUGCUCAUAGAAGAGCUUAUACACAGAGGCAAAAACCACAAGAUUUGAGAAAGACCAUUUCAGGAAUUCUGUCAAGGCAUAUAUGUAGGAAAACGUUUUGGUUUUUAUAUUGUAUACUAUUGAGAAGAAAUGUUAGCGAUAGCAAAUGUUUAGAUGUUGAUGGUUCCAUUCCACGUGUUCAUGUUAGAGUUGGUAAACCCCCAUCGCUUAGUUUGUCCUACACAGAGAAUGCAAAAAAAAAAAAAUUGUUGCCAUGCUAGAGACAGUGCUCUACCUCUUCUUGGAAGGUUAACUAACCUCUGUCCCUACAAAAUAAUCUCACAGAUCUAUGUCAGAAGAGUCAAGAGUUUGCAAAUCUACUUUCUAAAAGUGGAAGGGAAAACCAGUGUACUUGAGUUAUACAAUGCGCACAUUCAGCUAGCCGAAAAACAGAGGUGCCGAUUCAGACUGCAGUGUACAGAAAGCUGAGAGAAAUACAUGUAUUCUUUAUUAAACAAGGAAAUGAAAAGACAAGGAAAGAAAAUAUUUUAAUUGGUGGAAGAAGGAGAGACAAAUUGCAAGGGAGCAAACAGUAUAAUAGUUAACAUAGAGCUUUACUAUUUCACGUAAUAUGACUAUGGUGAAGAAGGGGAUUUCACUUGGACAACUGCAGAAAAGAAACAACACAGCUCUGUGUUAUGGAUUAUGGAGAUUUAUGACAGGUCUGCAUAAACAGAUACAGUUUUCAACAAUGAUUAAUUGCUGGCCAUACCAAGUUUGAACCUGACUGGCACUUUGGAGCAUAGAAGCUUAAGUGGAGAAACUCAAAUAUCUAAAUUUUAGCAGAGAUAGCAGAAUCUGUUUACAAGUCAAGUAAGCAUGGACACAACGUUCACCAUAUUGUUCAGGACCAGAAGAAGCCAGUGGUGUUUUAUGAUUGGAAAACACCAGUGACAACUCUUCAGAAUUUUUUCAGACUUUUGAAACGUUUAACUAAAUACUAUCAUAUCGCAGAGAGAAGGUUUGAUAUUGGAAGACAGGGAUACAGGUAUAUCAGAGAAUUCUGCUCAUCAGAUGCUGCAAAAGAUGCUGUUCAAGGUCUGUGCAUCCCUAACCUGAGGUUAUUACUCUUAUAGAUAAAGAAAAGGGCAAGCCUGCUAAUGCAAGACUACAUUACAUCUGAAGACCAAUCACAAAAAUCAUUCCCUCUUUGAUAUAACAGGAUACCAUUCAGUGAACUUUCAACACAACAUUGUUGUCGAACAUGUAGUAAUACCACAUUGUACAACUUUUACUACCUGUAAUUGACAUUCAUUAGUUUUUUAAAAAUUGUAUGUUAAUUGUACUAUC